rnacentral:tRNA from 1 species
UUUGAUGCCUAAGUUAUUUUUUUAGGCCAUAAUCCUGUCACCUUAGGUCGAUCGGUACCUCAGUUUAAUUUUUCAAGAACAAAUAGAUUUGUUUUAGAAGUUUUGAAUUCAGUUCCUAAACUUUGUCUAGGUCACACCCAGCAAGGGUACUCCUGGGCCAUUAGCUCAGGUGGUUAGAGCGCACCCCUGAUAAGGGUGAGGUCCCUGGUUCAAGUCCAGGAUGGCCCAUUCGUUGUUGGGGGUAUAGCUCAGUUGGUAGAGCGCCUGCUUUGCAAGCAGGAUGUCAGCGGUUCGAGUCCGCUUACCUCCACUGAUCAAAUUCCUGAUGACGAAGUCCAAGGAGAUUUGUUUUGAUGUGAUCUAGCAUUUGUUCUUCAUGAAUGAACCUAGCUUCUUGUCAUUCCAUAAAAAGAAUUUUGUAUGGCUGAUAAGACGCUGGGCUCCCUGCAAUUUAGGUUGCAGAGAUCUUCAGUAGAACCUUGACAACUGCAUAGGUGAGUCUGGAAAGAAUAAAGCAUCUCAUGGAUGCAUUAUUCUUUUGAGUCAAUUAGAAUGAUCUCUGAUUAACUCAGAAAUGAUUAGAUUGACUUGAAAAAUAAUGUUUAAUUCUUGAGCAAGAGUCGAGACUCUAAGAAUU